rnacentral:rRNA from 1 species
CCUACGGGAGGCUGCAGUGAGGAAUAUUGGUCAAUGGGCGGGAGCCUGAACCAGCCAAGUCGCGUGAGGGAAGAAGGUACUGCGUUUCGUAAACCUCUUUUGUCAGGGAAUAAAGGCGGGGACUAGUCCCCGGAUGAGGGUACCUGAUGAAUAAGCAUCGGCUAACUCCGUGCCAGCAGCCGCGGUAAUACGGAGGAUGCGAGCGUUAUCCGGAUUUAUUGGGUUAAAGGGGUGCGCAGGCGGCCUUUUAAGUCAGCGGUGAAAGCCCGGGGCUCAACCACGGCGAGCCGUUGAAACUGGCGGGCUUGAGUGUGGUUGAGGUACGCGGAAUGCGCGGUGUAGCGGUGAAAUGCUUAGAUAUCACGCAGAACCCCGAUUGCGAAGGCAGCGUACCAGGUCCUCACUGACGCUGAGGCACGAAAGCGUGGGGAUCGAACAGGAUUAGAUACCCGAGUAGUC